UUCCGGUUGAUCCCGCCGGACCCUACUGCUAUCGGGGUGGGACUAAAACAUGCAAGUCGAGCGUCUCCAAGCCAUGGUGGAGGCGCGGCGUACGGCUCAGUAACACGUGGCUAACCUACCCUUGGGACGGGGACAACCCCGGGAAACUGGGGCUAAUCCCCGAUAGGUGAGGAGGCCUGGAAUGGUUCUUCGCUGAAAAGGCGUUGAAACCAUGCUUUUCAACGUCGCCUAAGGAUGGGGCCGCGCCCGAUCAGGUUGUUGGUGGGGUAACGGCUCACCAAGCCUAUAACCGGUACGGSCCGUGAGAGCGGGAGCCCGGAGAUGGGCACUGAGACAAGGGCCCAGGCCCUACGGGGCGCAGCAGUCGCGAAAACUCCGCAAUACGCGAAAGCGUGACGGGGCUAUCCCGAGUGCCAUCCGCUGAGGAUGGCUUUUCCCCAGUGUAUAAAGCUGGGGGAAUAAGGAGAGGGCAAGACUGGUGUCAGCCGCCGCGGUAAAACCAGCUCUUGGAGUGGUGAUCAUGAUUAUUUGGCUUAAAGUGUGCGUAGCAGGGAAGCGUGAGUCCCCUGUGAAAUGCUAGGUCUUAAGCUUAGCCCGUGCAGGGGAUACUGCGCGUCUUGGGACCGGAAUAGGUGUGAUGUACGGUUUGGGUAGGGGUGAAAUCCGAUAAUCCAAGCCGGACAACCGGUGGCGAAGGCGUCACACUGGGACGGGUCCGACUGUGAGGCACGAAAGCUAGGGUCGCGAGCCGGAUUAGAUACCCGGGUAGUCCUAUGCUGUAAACGAUGCUCACUAAGUGUUAGGUAAUGCAAGACGUUAUCUAGUGCCGAAGCGAAAGCGUUAAGUGAGCCGCCUGGGAAGUACGUUCGCAAGAAUGAAACUUAAAGGAAUUGGCGGGGGAGCACUACAAUCCGUGAAGCUUGCGGUUUA
rnacentral:rRNA from 1 species